GAACACUGUAUAUACAACAGGUAUAAAAAUCAAGCAAUUAUUGAUAAGAACUCAGCAGUUUCUAGGCUUGCUAAACAGGUGGAUUUUCCUUUUUCUGAAGUGCAACUGAAGCAUCUUCUGUAUAGUCUACUGUAAAAACUGCACAACAGAUUCAUGUAAAUAACUAAAACAGCCGCUAGGUGAUGUUAAGAAAACUUUUACAGUUCCCUAAUUUUUCAUGACCCCAACAUUGAGCUAAGAGGAUCCCAUUUAGGAUCAGGACCCACCAUUUAAGAAGCAGUAAUGUAGAGCACUCGAUGCUGGGAAUAUUAGUUUCACAGUGAAAAAAGCAUGAGUGCAAUAGAUAAUUCUCUUGUUUACCACCUCAUACAAAUAUAUGGUAAAUAUAAAACUAUCGUAGCACUGGGGAUGGGUUGAAAAAUGAGCACACUCACGUAAAAUAGACAGAUGGCAGCUCUAAAGAGGAUUUGUGCAGCCAUUAUGUUUAAUAACUAACUUUGUGGUAAAGCUCCUAUGAUACACACCUUUUUCUCAUAUUUGUAAAGUAAGAAUGUUUUGAAUCUGCUUGUGCAUCCCGCUUCUCUGAGAUGUUCUGUGGAAUGGCAUCACUCAGAGGUCUGGUCAUAUUUGAGUUUAUUUACAAGUAUUCCAUGCUGAGCAUAGGUUGAGGCAGGUGCUUGAAACAUUACAACAAAGCAAACUUUAGCUCCCUAGAGAGGCAAAUUUAUUCGUUUACAGAGCUUAGCUUAGCUCAGCCACUCUGUCCAUCUUGCUCCCUAGCCGUAUUGCUCUUUGGCUCAAAACUACAGCUUCUGUUGUUUCCUUUCAUGCCGAGACCUAGAUGACAUCAUCCUAAACAGAGAGAGGGAAAGAUACAUUCCCCCCCUUCUGCGUGUCACAAAGCAAUCUCCCACCAAUUAAUUCCCAGUGAGGGAUAUCAUCUGACUAUAGCAGGCUAUUCUCAUUCCUUUACAAAUCCAGACAUCAGCAACUGCAUUGGUACUCCAGGCCACUUUUCCCUAUAGCCAGAUAUUUUAAGAGAUGGCAUUUUUUGUUUUGUUUAUUUUGUUUUGUUUAAAUUUUUAAAAUCCAAAAUGCACACAAAAUAACUACAUAUUUUAAUGUUUGCAGAAAUUGAAUUCAUUAUUAAUUAAAUGUGAUCAACUUUAUAUAAUUUUCUCCUGUUAUUAACAAAAACCCAGUUACACUGAAUUGUUAUUAAAUAUUAAAUAUCUAAUUACAUAUACGUGUAUCUUAAAUACAGUAGAGUCUCACUUUUCCAACAUUCUGGAUUAUCCAACGCAUUUUUGUAGUCAAUGUUUUCAAUACAUUGUGAUAUUUUGGUGCUAAAUUCGUAAAUACAGUAAUUACUACAUAGCAUUACUGCGUAUUGAACUACUUUUUCUGACAAAUUUGUUGUUAAACAUGAUGUUUUGGUGCUUAAUUUGUAAAAUCAUAACCUAAUUUGAUGUGUAAUAGGCUUUUCCUUAAUCCCUCCUUAUUAUUCAACAUAUUCGCUUAUCCAACGUUCUGCCAGCCGUUUAUGUUGGAUAAGUGAGACUCUACUGUAUUCUUAAACCAGUGGUUCUCAACCUGUGGGUCCCCAGAUGUUUUGGCCUUCAACUGCCAGAAAUCCUAACAGCUGGUAAACUGUCUGGGAUUUCUUGGAGUUAUAGGCCAAAACACCUAAGGACCCACAGGUUGAGAGCCACUGACUUAAGCUGACUCCAGUUAAUAUGAUAUUGAUUAUGACAUUGAGUACUGAUGCCAAAGCAAAAGGAUUAAUUAUUAUCUUGAUUAUGUUAUUGGCUAUUCCACCCACUGUAAAGCAUGACCAGUGCCUGCUAUUUCGCCUACCCGUAUUUAACAAAUAUGUCCUCUCUAGUAAGUCCUUCAGGCAAUUCUAAAGCAUUCUUCCACUAAGUGUUACUAUAGGGUCACCCUGGAGGACCAAGAAAAUUCCCAGAGAUGAUUCCUCUUGAGGAGUUUACUAGGUCCUCCAGAGUGACUCUUGUAACUUGUAUUGAAUGUAUUCAGAAUGUAUUCAUUUGAAUAGGGUUUUCUAUUAUCCAUGGAUUCCUGUUUCCAUGGUAAGCUCAGAAACAUAUCUCCUGUAGAUACAGGAGUUAUACUGUAGUGCAUUUGGUUCAUUGUUUUAGUGUAUUUAGUUCCUUUUCUUAUUGCAUUUAUUGAUUUACCACCAAAUUUCAAUUUCCAGCAAAAUCCAUUUCUAAAAAAUAAAAACAGAAUAAAUUCUGGUGAGUAGUGGAGAUAUCAAAUCUUGAGGGCAGCAUGAAAUCAGUGGGCCCAAUUCCUCCCCCCUCCCCCUUCGCUUUCUGAUAUGGGUUUACCUUUUUAUGUAAUAAGACUGGUGUAGAGUUGUUUGCAGGGAUAAUAAGACUCAUACUGUAAUAACUUUUGAAAUAACCAGGAAUGUAUGUGGAAAGCAUUUUAAAAAAUGGUAUACCUUUCCUACAUACUGUUACUAUCUGAGCUCUUCCAUGAAAAUUUGACUCAACUGUUCUCCAUAAUUGGAACACGAAAUGACAGCGCAUCAAGAUAUAACAGAUAUUCAUUUGACAUUAUUUCUGGGUUUCUACAUAAUAUAUUUGUUUUAGCUUCUUUUAAAUAAUUUGUAGAAUAUCUAUCAGUUGUAUGUAGCAGGUAAUUCUUUCAGCACAAAGUUUCUGCCAUGUGCAUUUUCAUACUUGCUGAACUGUAAAAGACAAAUUUUCAAUUCUGCUCAUGCAAAGCUUUGAUUGUAAUUCUUCACCCUAUAGUUCCACCCUGUUUUGAGCUGUAGUUGUGAUAUUACCUAAAAAGCAAUUGACUUCAAUGCUCUUAAACUGCUAGGCCUUUACACACUACACAGUUAUAGCACUAUGAUUCUAUUUUAACUUUCAAGGCGGCAUUUCAUGGAAUUCCAGCAUGCGUCCUUUUGUGGAGCAUUAGAGCCCUCUGUCUGAGAAGUCUAAAUAUUCCCCCGUAAACUGAAAAUUCCAGGAUUCUAUUGGCUGUUGCCACGGCAGCUAAAUUGUGCCAUAACUAUAUAGUGUGAAAGGGACCUGAAGUCUGAGUUUGUCAUCUCCUCAAAAUUGUGAAGACUAUUGUGGGGGGGGGGGGGGGAGUGAAUAUGUAAACAACAUCAUGUUGAUGCUUCCGAUGUUUUAGUUGUGAUCUUUAUGUUAAUAUGCUAGUUAGUAGUAAUAAUACUCAUUUCUACAACAGUAUCACCUUGCUAAUAUAUUGCACAAUCCUGUCAUAGUCUACUUAGAACAGAGUAAGGCAGCUAUGGAAUAUCCAGUGGCCAUAUCUUCCCGUUUUCCAGCCCAAUUACAAACUGCAUUUCAAAACUUGAAGUGACCAAUAUGGGGCUUGGAGGAUGAAAACCACAGUCUUUGCAGGCUGUGUGUGGCCUGUCGCCUUCCCAAUUAUCAUACAUCAAUUAAAAUAACAUCACAUUGCAAUCAGUGAGCUUUACUCCGAGGUAAAUGGAUAUAAGAAUGUUGUUUGUCCUUUUUUUUUUUUUACCAUACACAGCUUCCUUGAAGUUACUAUCCUCUCCAAAAUCAAAGACAUUAAUUAGGGAGUGCUAUGUUUGCUAUCACGACAGUUGUGUCUAUUCGUUGGCAAUGAAUGCAAUAACAUUGAGUUAACAAACAAAAGACUGCCUAUGCAAUAUUUUUUGUCCUUUUGGAUCACAGCUUUUAAUUUAACAAAGAAAACAGAAAAUGUGUAUUUAAAGUAUUUAUAUUCCCAACUUUCUGCCAAUAUUAGCACUUCAUCUGGCUGAUACCAGACCUACACACAUCUUAAUGCUAUAUACUGGGUUAGUGCUAUAACUUUUCAAAGUCACCAAAGACAGAAUAUUUAUUAACUAAAUAAAUAGGUCCAGUUCAGUGGUCAUAUCUGAAAGCUGAUUUGGAGGUGUUGAGAAAAUGCAUGUGCUGCUUUUUACUAAUUUUCUUGAAGAAAAGUCAUUUUAACAAUAUUCUUCCUAUUGCAAAAACUACAGAGUUUUCGAAGCCUAUUCAUACUUCAAGACUUAUUCUAAGAAAACAAUGCAUGUGGGGGUUUUUUGCGCAAAAUACAGCCACUUUGAGUCUCUUUUGUGGAGAGAAAACAUGGGAUAUAAAUAAACAUAAACAUAAUAUUAAUGAUUCUGAUAAUAAUAAUAAUUUUUGCACAGGAAGCCAUGUGUUUUUCCCAAUUACUGCACAUAAAAAUGUUUAGCAGAGAAAAUAGUAAAAACACUAUUUUGUCUGCCAAAAAAAAUUACUAUUUCCUUCAUAGAAAAUUCUGCAAUUGGGAACUUAUUUGGCACAAGAUUCACACAAUUGAUUUACAAAGAAAACAACAUUUUCUGCAUGUAGGUGCUAUCUUGCUGUGACCCUCCUCAAUCCAUGGGGAGAGACGGGUAAGAAAUAAAAUUAUUAUUAUUAUUAUUAUUAUUAUUAUUAUUAUUAUUAUUAUUAUUACUAUUAUUAUUAUUUAAAAUGGUUUUAUGCACCAAAAUUAUUUUCUGCAUAAACCAACAAUGUACAAAUUUUCACAAAAUGAGUUCUGAACUGUGAAAAAAAGUAGUCAAUUAUUCUUCUUUACAGGACUUUUCAACACUUAAUGCACAUGUUUUUCAACCAUUUUGGAAAUAAAAUAUUAUUUCCAUAUCUACUUGGCCCAGUCCUACUUCUCAUUCAAUUAUCUUGAAACAACAGCAUUUGGCAGUUUCUGCAAUGACAAAACACUUAUUUUAAAAUACGACUAUGGAUAGAGAUGGGUGGGGUGUGUGCAAUAACAAUAAAAUGCUAAAAGAAUGCCAAAGCACUGAAUACAUUAGACUGAAGGACUCUUUGGCCAUGACACCUAUACUCCCUAACUAUUUCAUCUCAACUAAAGCUUUGAACUUUGGCUGUUGAAAACUAAGAACUGAUUCAGGAAUGGGCAAUUUGGCUAGCAGAAGUAUAAUUCCCAUAGCAUCCUCCCCAUGGCAGCCUCUUCUGCCUUCCAAAAGGUAGUAGUAAUAAUAAUAAUAAUAAUAAUAAUAAUAAUAAUAAUAAUAAUAAUAAUAAUAAUAAUUUUAUUUAUUUGACCAGUCAUAUGACCAUUUCAAAAUACAACACUAGUAAAAACAAGGCAAAAAGGAGGAGAGGAUGGCAGCUGACCUUCUGUUUACAGUCAAAAUCUUAUUUUCCUGAUUCUUCUUGCAGGAAAUGUGCUCUUUUCUUGAUAGCUUUCAGAAUAAAAAGGCUUACUCUGAUUAUGGUGGCUCUUUCUUCCUUUGCAAGAGGAAUGUCAGAAGAUCAUUUCUUUUGGGAGACCUAAAAUUGGAUAGUAAUGGAUGUAAAUAUCUGUAUCCAAGUUCAGUAUAUGCUGGACAGUCAAUCAAAAAAUGUUUGAUAUCUUCCACAGUUUGUUCUCCCCAAACGCAGAAUCUCUCACUUCUUGGGAUGUUACAAUAGCAACCAGUUUGCAUCAUAGUACUGAGUUGUUCAAACCUAGCCCUAGUAUAUAUUCUUCUUAAGAGUAACGGAACUGGAGUAGUCAGAUAGUGUUCUAAAUUAAUACUCAUUUUGUGAGAAGCUAAACCCUUUGUGACAGAAGACCUACCUAUACUUGCUAGGUCCAGUUGACCAUAGAUAUCACGAGUGUGUUGCAUGAGCACUUGUUUUGCCCUGGGUCCUAGAUCCAAUUUUAGUAAUUUCAUUGUUUAGAGCCACUACCCAUGAUGACUUGUGGACAUGCUGGACUUGAUCCUCUAGACAUAGAUGAGGAAGUCUACUGGAAUUCCUCUGAUUUAUUUUUGACCAGUAAUUGCAAAAGGUUUUAGGGAAUAGGGUAAAUUGUAGUGUAGGGGGGGAACACCUAAAAGUACCUUCUAUGAGUAAACCCUCCUGUCCACAGAAUGCAGACUUUGCUGGAUUCAAUCCUUUAUGUGGUUGUGUUUUUAUAGAUUUUAUCUUUAUAGGUGGUCUGUUAUUUUGCUUUCUGAUCUCAUGAACUACUUCUUAAAAGAAAGCCUGUGAAAAAUAAGAAAAAAGCAAACUAGGGAUGGGUUCUUCUCUAUUUUGGUUUCUCUUCCUCUCCAAUUAUUUCCAUUUGUAAUUCUGCAUGGAAAUCUGUAUGCAACUUUCAGUAAAAUUGUGCCGAGUAUACAUGCUUCUGCAAGUAAUAUUCCCAAUACCUUUUGGGUAUUCAUUUCAUUAGUAUUUGAAAAUGUAUAGGUACUUCUCCCCAAUGCACAUAUUUUGAUUGGAAAACUCAAUUCCAAAAUGUUGUGUGAAUUUUGUGAGGAACUGAGUUUGCCCUGAGAGGUUAGGCUGGUGACCCUGCAAGGCAGGCCUUUCUGUGACGUAAUGUUGGUGUUGUGGAACUCAUAUCUAUGGGAAGUCAUACUAGCUCUGUGCAUUUUGAACCUCUGGCAGGCAGCUGUUAUUUUUAUGGUUGGUGGUAGUAUUUUAAUUGUAAAUUGUUUUAAACUAGAUUUAAAAAUUUGAUUUGGUUUUUUUUCUAAUGAAAUUUGUUGAAAGAUAAUAUACUUAAAUAGCAGGUUGGGCAUUAAUAAACUUUAAUAAAAAAAUAACACAGUGUCAAAUUACAUAAGUUUGCAUUAAAUAUGAACUAAUUGAAUGUCUGUUCCAGACAAGGAAACAGACUGCCUCAAUGUGAUUGCAUUUACUUAUGUUUCAUCAUCUUCUCCUUGUGCAGGUUCCACUUCCUUUUCCUGAAGCCACCAGACCAUCACUGUCCUUCUUGUCAAGUCAGCCAUCUAUUACCAACAAAAUGAUGCUGUCCUUGAGGCUGAGGUAGUAGAUUGAAUAGUUGUGGAGCCUUAUUCUCCCUCUGAGCUAACUAUACAAUCUACUGUCUUUCCUAAGGAGACAGUAAAGUCAUCUGCUGCUAUGCAAUCAUCCUCACCUAAUUCUGGGUUACUUGGAUUCAAGUCAUCUGCUGCAGACAAAAACACUUUGAUACCCAGCCCAUGAUUCUGCACACUGAAAGUGCAACAACACUUGGCACUAAGGAGUCAAGAAUGCCUCAAAGGUCUAACAGCUGUUGCAAGACAUAUGAAGCCUCUAUCUUGCUUUGUGGAGGUGAGGUAGUAGGUUGUAUAGUUUGUGGGAGGGAUUACAUCCCAUUUCAGGUGAUAACUAUACAGUCUAUUGCCUUCCUUAAGGAGCAACAAAUCUGGCUUAGGAGCAGCAAAUCUGGCUUAGGAAACCUAUGAUACACAGAAUUUCAUAAGGCACAGUCAUUUGAAUUGUCUAACAAGGACGUUGACUUGUUUCUGUCUUUUAGAUCUCUAUGUCAGUAGCUUGGAUUGGAGGAGAACCUCCUAGUACUUUGCCCUUCCAACUCCCCAAAUCUACUCAGCCCUUGGCAAUUUUCUCCCUCCCAACUGGAUUUCUUUGUUAUUUCCAAUCAUUACUGCAGGUUGUAAGAUUGGCCUUUUGCUAAGCAGAGUGUAAGUACAAUUAUAAAGUGAACUUAUGGUAGAAACAGGAGUAAUGACUGAUUCUCUAGAAAUUCAUUUCUAAAAUCAUAUUUAUUUUGUCCUUCCUUCCUUCCUUCCUUCCUUCCUUCCUUCCUUCCUUCCUUCCUUCCUUCCUUCCUUCCUUCCUUCCUUUCUUCCUUGGUCUAUCAUCUGCAGUAUCAGCAACAACGUUGUUGAUUUUGGUUUCUGUUUUAUUUCCCCAAGAUAUCUUGGACAUGCCAUCAUUGCAGGCCAUUUGGGAGGGCAGAGUAGCAGCUUGCCACAAUGUGUGGUGGUUUCCAUGACUCAAGCAGUCAAGGAAAAGAAAAUGGCACCCAUCAAACCAGCAUCACUGUGCUGGAGAAAAGUGCCAUAUGCGCACUUACCCUGCCCUGCCCUAGUGAUGAACUAUGAUAUUCGGAGACACAGAUGAGAUAAAAAGAAUGGACCUGUUCAUGUGUGUUCCUCAUUGAUGGCAUUAAUUCCAUAAGUCAUUCAAGCUGAACUGAACUGAGACAAAAGAAAUGCCUCCAAAUGGUGUACCAUUCAGCUGUCUUAUUGUGCUUCUAGAUCAUCUAGAAUCAUCUUGCCUUAUUCAGAUAAUACAUGGGGUUUUUCUCUGUUCUUCAUUUUUUAUUCCUUGUCUCCUUCCUUGGUUCUAUUGCCAGUUACCAAACAAUAACUAUACUCCUAAUUAUGUCUUACCAUUGAGUACCCAAUUUCUCUUAAUUUGUUAAAUAUCCUGAAAGAUAUAAAUGCAUGAGAAUGAUUUAAGUAGCUGUUUUAUGGAAAUGUACAAGAUAAAUCACAAAUGCAAAAUUACAUUAGUGUGCAUUUUGUCCUGACUAUAAUCUGAAAUGAAGAGAACCGCGUGGAAGUUACAAGAGACUUUUUUUUACCUGGGCAAAAAAAAUGCUGCUUAAUGCUAUAGAGCUGCUUGCUCCUGGAACAAUAGUGGGAUCAUUGCCCAAAUGUAAUAGUGAGUGGAAAAUUUCUUGCAGGGGAUAGAAUAGCACAGUAAUAAUGCUUGUUCCAGGCAUUUGCUCAUCCUUUCUAUGUUUCUUUCUUUCUCCCUAGAUGAGAAUUUCUUUUCAGUUUCUUUCAAUCAAAAUUUGCAGGGUUUUUAUUUUGUUUUUACAUUUUGAUUUUACAAUGUGAAUACAGUAGAAAUUUUUAAAAUGGCAAGUUCCAGUCUGGGAACUUUUGCUAAAAUAACUUUUGGAGUGUAAAUCCUUGUGUGUCAUGUUAGUAUUGAAUGAGAGUUGUCAGUACCACUUCUUUUUUCUCAUAAUCUCACCUUUAAUAUCUAAAUGUGCAGCAGUCUUCUUUGUAGAAGUAACUGUUACGGCAACUCCACUGGAUCCCGAUCUGCUUCUGGGCUAAAUACAAAGUACUGGUCAUUACCUAUAAAGCCCUAAAUGGUUCAGGCCCAGACUAUUUAAAAGACCACAUCUAUGUAUACAAUCCAACAUGAGUGCUGCGGUUGGCUGGGGAGACCCUCUUCUCGGUCCCACCCCCUUCUCAAAUGUGACUGGUGGGAACGAGAGAGGAGGGGGGCUUUUCUAUGAUCACUUCCCACUUCUGGAACUCCCUCCCUAAAGAAUUAAAAAUUGCCUCCUCUCUCCUCUCCAUCAAAAAGCUAUUAAAAACACAUCUAUGUAACUUGGCCUAUGGGGAGGAGGCACCCUCGCCUAGCUUUUUACAAUCAUUUUGUUAAUCUGCUGUUCACCGUCUCCCCUCCAACAAUUUUAGUCUGAUUUUAGAGUUUUUUAAUUAGAUUUUAAGGAUUUAAUAUGUCUGUAAAUAUGUAGAAUGUGUGAUGUCUUGUUCAUUUGAGUUGUUUUAUAAUUUAUUGAGUGGUUUUUGAUUUGUUUAAAUAUUAUUGUCGGCACUGAAUGUUUGCCACUGCGCAUUUUGUUGUAAACCACCCUGAGUCCCUUAGGGAAGAUAGGGCGGUCUAUAAAUAAAGUUUCAUUCAUUCAGUAACUGUACUUAUGAAAUUUCACCCAUACAAAUGGGGGAGAAUUUCAGUUCAGUUAUUCUCUGAAGAAUUUACAAAAAAAAAUGCUAGUGGCAUAUAUGCAAAGAAGAACUUCAAGCUGUUGUUUUUAAUGCAAAUGUGGGAGACAGCAAAACUGACAGAUUUUCAUAUGUGUGGGUGUGAGUGGGUGUGAUGUACCCUGUGGUGCUGGUGGGUUGGAACAUUCCUUUAAAAAGAAAAGAAAAAUUAAAUAAGAAAUGUUGGGGGGUUGCAAUGAUGAGACAGCACUACAAGGGGGCUACAUAAGAUAUUAUGGAAUAAAGUGGGCAAGUGGUCUUUACUUCUUUUUAAAUAUUUAAACAAAGCAUAUGCCAGAAAACUUUAGGGUCAUUAAACCUAUACAGGUGUUUAAGGUGGGGAAGAGUUGUGGAUCAAUAAUGUCUUUGUACUAUUUUUCAACUGCUAGUGACAGUCACGUGCGCAUCCUUCUCAGGAAUCCUAGUGAAAAGGAUUUAAGCAGUCACGAGCGUGCACUUAAGUGCUAAGGAAACUUUGAAAAGCUUUUUCCAGUGACAAGUACAGCCUCUUAAAGUUGUGUUUUAUUCGCAAUGAAAAGAAGACAUGAGUGUUUUCAGCUUUUUGAAAACCUAUGUUCUGUACCUGUUCUCUUGUUCAGCAAAUAAAAACCAUUUCAGAUUUUUAAGACAGGCUGCUUUGAAUUGGAAUCAAAUGGCCAUUUUUUUUCUCUUCAAAUCUAUAGAAGAAUAGUUCUUGUAUUCUCACAGUCAAUGAGAAUCGCAGUCACAUGGGACUGCAGUAACUAUCCACAGUGCCAUAGGCUUGCAGAUGAUCUAUGUGAUUUCUGAGCAUCUUUUGAACAGAUUUUCAUUAGGUAAAAGAAAAGGUUUCACCUGAUGUUAAGUCUAGUCGUGUCCGACUCUGUGGGGUUGGUGCUAAUCUCCAUUUCUAAGUUGAAGAGCUGGCGUUGUCCAUAGACACUUCCAAGGUAAUGUGGCUGGCAUGACUGCAUCGAGCGCUGCUACCUUCCCGCCGGAGCGGUACCUAUUGAUCAAUUCACAGGUUGGCAGAAGCUGGAGCUAACAGUGGGCGCUCACUCCGCUCCCCGGAUUCAAACCUGCAAACUUUCAGUCUGCAAGUUCAGCAGCUCAGCACUUUAACACUCUGCACCACCAGGGGCUCCUAGUUUUUCAUUAAAACCCCAUAAUUUGAAGUCAGUAUCACCACGGAUUUUAACACAUAACUGUUCAUGUUGCUAUUUCCUCUCCAUGGAGCUUUUUUUUUUUUUAAUAGAUUGAUCUGGUUCAUAUGGAGUGUUUUGAGCCUCACGCAGAUAAUAGGGUUUUGAAAUAGUUUAACAAAGUUUAACAAAGACCCUGAAUGGGAAUUCACUGGCUGGUUAGCUUAAUAUCUAUGCCAACUAAACUGGUGAAAUACAAAAUACAAGUAUAAGGAAGAGAAGGCUUGUUGUAGAGCAGACAAUGUGGCUUCUGCAAAGUUAAAGUCUGUCAUUUUAGAGUCCAUUGUGUCAACAAGUUCAUAGGGAUGGAUUUCAUACAGAUCCAGUAGACAAUAGAAAACUGCUUGGGAACUGAAAAACUGCUGAAGGUUGUAAUAUUUGUAGUUUCAGUUCUUCUCCUUUUUAAAAAGUAUCCAAACAAUUUUGUAAUCCUGGAUUAUUUGCUGGCAUAGCCUGACAAUAGCUGCAACCUUUUAUUCCUACCUUCCAAUUGAUUUUUUAAAAAUCUGAGAUAUAUGUAAAGGUAUUUCUCUUGUGAUUCUGGUUGAACUGAGAUCACCCCAAUGACAGCUAUCGAGUUUACAUGCUGAUUGCUGGAGAGUUUCAAGAUAGACAGUGAGGGAAAUAAAGGUAAAGGCAAUUUCUCUUUCAUCCCCUUCUCUCCCCUUUUCUCAUUUUAUUUUUAGAAUUGUAGAAUUAUAUGUGCCAUUGAAAUAAAGAGAUAAUAUUUGCACUGAAAUUCUGUUAUACUGUAAUUAAAAAACCCAACAGAAAUACAGAGUCACAGAGAAGACAAUUUCACAACAUAGACCAUAGCCUGCCCACAGCAAAGUACACCCCAUUGUAAAAAUCCUAGUGCAGAUCCAAGAAAUUGCAACUAAGAAGAAUUUCAAAAAAAGAAAUGAAAAUACCUAAAAGAUAGGGAAUAAGUGGGUGUUGAGGCAAUAAUAAGGUGCAAUAUCUGUCAUAAAUAAAGAUGCUGCACUGGCAAGAGUUCAUACUUCUUUAGACCAGUCAGGAAGAACUGAUUGCUUAUCAGGGCUUAUCGAAAACCUUUGACACCAUCCCUCACUAAAGACUAAAGACAAAAAAAAACAUUGAGUAUGGACCUCAUUCCAUGAGCAGGGGGAAGUGGAAGGAACCAUCUGACUUCAUUCCCUACCAUUGAGGUCUGUCUUCUGGGAUGGCCAGCCAUCUCAUGUCCUUUCUCCAUCUUUCCCACCACUUUCGCUAUCUUUGGACCUUGUCACAUGACCCCCCCCCCCCCCAAAUGCUGUUUCACCUGCAAGUAUGGCAAAAAUGGCAGACAUCGCUUCCCCAUCACACGGGGGGAGCAUAGCCCAACCAGGGCAGCAUGGGGUUCAGCACAACACGGGAGCCUUGCGAGGAAGUGUCCUAGACACUUCCAUCCCUGUUGGGAGCAGGGCCUCCACCGGAGGCUGUGGAACAUUGUUUGAUGCUCCAUACCCAUCCAUCCAUCAACUGACUGGCAAGCAUCCUAGAACACUUAAAUUGGUAAGUAUAGGGACGGGUGCUACCGUUUCCAUGCACUGUGGAAACAGAAUCCCACGGAUUUCCACCAGAAGUGCUCAUGCAGUACCCUCCGUGGGACUCUGUUUUGAUGCACUUGGAAACAGAGCCCAGAAUGCACAGGAUGAGGUCCUAAGUGUCUUCUUAUGGAUUAGAAUUUACUUUAGGCAAGGAGCAGAAAACAGGAAUAAAAAGUUCAUCUCUCCAAAUAGAGGAAGCUUAACAUUAGGUGCAGUUCAUGGAAGGAAAUGCAAGUGAUGGUCACUGGGACCACCAAAAAACAGAGAGGGGUCAUAUUACAUAUUUAUGCCAAGAUUUGAUUGAGUUAUAAUCAUAAUUCAAAAUCAUGGUGAGGGUCAAAACUUUGCCUACAUGUCAGUUGACCUUUUCUUGAAGCUAAAAUUGUUGCACAUUAUUGCCCCACCUUCUCCCCAUUUUCAUUCUAUGAACAACCUUGUGAAGUAGGUUGGGAUGAGAUGGUACAAUUGGCUAAGGUAAUCACCCAAGUAUUAUAUCAUAGGCAAAUUGGGAUUUGACCUGAUUUAUGAUGUGCAUUCAGGAGAUAUGGGGUUGGUAUGAAUACAAAGUUUAUACAGAGGAUCUGAAACAAACCUGUAAUUUUGAGCAGAUCUGAUGAAGCUAUUUUGAUUUUAAAGUAAUAUACACACAGUAUUGUAUUUUUCAUCUUUUUCUUUAUGUUUCCUCAGAGUCAUCACAUUCAUUACACUAUUUUUCUUCUGAAAGCAGUACUUCUAUUCUUUUAAUGACAUUUUCUUUCUUUUCCCUAAAGAUAUCUUUUUUAAUGCAUUCUGAGGUUACUUGGUGGAACAUGUCCUGAUUUCUUCCACAAAAACUUGUUGAGUAUGCUGUCUGUGGUGAAUGGCAGAUGGCAAAUGUGAAAAGUAAUCUAUAGACCGUUGGGGUCUCUAGUACCAGACAUAGGUCUAUGAGCAUUUGCAAACUGUAUCUGUAAACCUUAGAGCAGCACACAGGCUUAAAAGUAUGAUUCAGCUUAAUACCACGUGCUUGAGAAGUGCCUAUCUUGUUUUAAAGCUUUAUUGUGACUGUUUUAUUGCUAAAUCAUGACAUGGUGAUGGGAGUUGCAGCCAAAUGUUGUGCACUACUUCUUUGGGGAAAUGUAACCCUAUGCAUGAGGGGAACACCAUGUUCUUGAAUAGAUACUAAACCCGUGAGUGAUGCUUGAUUUUGGUGGAAUUAGGAACUGGACCCAUUAGACUCAUUGGGUGAGGGAGACCUGAGAUGGUGGUUGGAUGUUCAAAAGUAUUGCAGCUGGGAAAGAGAGACAAAUGUCAGUAAUGCAGAAGAGUCCAAAUUCAAAGAGAAGAGAAGAAAUUCUGGACCAUGUAAGCCUGUAAGAAAGAUGUGAUAUUAACUUCAUCAAAUCAUACAAUUGUAUCCUGCGGCGUUGAAUGAAAACUUACUGUUUGCUUUUGGUUUCCCAGUCACAUGAGAGCAUUCAACAAGCAAGACUUUGCAUUCAUCACCCCAUUGACCUAUUGGCCCAGCAAAAGUUCACUUAAAUUUUAUUAACUUUGGGUAGUUUUUUAUACCACAACACUGCACAACAGCUUCAAUCUGCAGUAUCAGAAAAUGUACAGUAUUCACUCACUACUUCGUGGUUCGCUUUUUGCAGAUUCGCUGUUUCAUGGUUUUUCAAUAAACUCUAAAAGAAUAUUAUAAAUCAUAAAAAAUUACAAUUUACAGCCUAAGGAUGGGAGAAAGGAGAAGCCGAAGGGAGUGAAAAGGAGCCCAAGUGGCAACGAGAGGAGAAGGAAGUGAUUUAUCAACAUACGAUUGGUUGAUAAAGACUUAAAAUAGUAUAUAACUACUAAAAUAAUGUAUAAAUAUAUAGCGUCCCUACUUCACGGAUUUUCACUUAUCGCGGGUGGUCCUGGAACCUAACCCCUGCAAUAAGUGAGGGAACACUGUACUGUAAUUUAGACUGAGAACCUUAGAGCAGAAAUGGACAUUGUAUGGGACCUUAAAACCUGAAAAUGGAAAUGAAGCUUAAAAAUAAAAUAACUAUAAGAUGGGUAGAAACAUAAACGUUAUUACCUGUUAACAAUCCUAGCUGUACAUUCCUGGUUAGAACAAUGCACACACAUUUGCACACCUAGAACCUCAUUCCAUGCAUUCUGGGCUCCGUCUCCAUGCACUUUAGAAAUGAUGUACCAAGGAGGCCAUUGCAAGACAUAAGGGCACUUCAGAUGGGACUCCAUGGGACUCUGUUUCUGAAUCCACUUUAACUUCCAUGGUUCCAUCCUAUGGAAUGCUAGAUUCUGAAGUUCGAGAAAGUACUAGAGCUUUCUGAAAACCUCUUUCUAAUCUUCCAAUUCCUGGAUUCCAUGGCAGUUAAAAUGGAAUCAUAGAACUAUAAUUGUGCAGCGUGAAAGCCCCUUUCCCCUACUUUUCAUCAGGUAUAAGCUGGUCAAGGUAUUUAAACUGCUAGGUAUCACCACUGAAAGGUUCAUGUGUUUGAUAGCCUUCCAACCCGCAUUUUUAAAUGUGAAAGCUGGGCCUCAGAACCCGGUCUGCAUACAUGAGGGGAUUUGUAGAACAGGUGGGCUUUCAAUGAAUAGCCUUGAACAACAUUAGAGUAUGCAAUUUAUGGAUCCUAGCUGGCCAAUUCCCAACCAUAUUUUGUGCCAGCUGAUGUUCCAAAAACAUUUUCCAGGGCAGCCUCACAUAUAAUACAUUGCAGUAGAAACCUUAUUGAAGAACAGAUAAAUUACAAUAAGAACAAGUUUGCUAAUAUUACUUGCAGUCAGUGCUACUUGCACUUGUAUUCAUGCAUUCAGAUUGGAUGCAUGAGUACAGAUAUAUCAGAAAAGGGGUCUGCUAUUCCGAUUUAGUAUGGACUGUCUUGUAUUAUGCUCUCCCCCCUCCCCACACACACACACAUAAUACAUUUCUAGGACAAGUGCUAAAUGAAAUAUUGUUCCUCAUGAUUUGCUGUGAGGGGGCAGAGGCAUAAUGGGAAAUUUUAGGCUGCAGCUGCUUAUAAUAUAAGUCCUGAUAGCCACACCCCUUCAGAAAUUCAAACAUGUAGGCAGCACGGCAGCAGUGUUAAUCAGUAGCUUCAUCUUGACCAAUAGCAGAUCUUUUGUAAUCCCAGGAGGCCAUAAUUACUCACUCAAGCCAGCAUUAGAAUGGAAAUAGUUCAUGACAGUAUGCAAUGGCUUGAAAAACCCAUUCUCUUGCCUUCUCCGUAGCAACUAUGAGGCUUGGAACUACACUCAGUGGGAUAACAGUUGAAAAUUAUGUCAUUGGGUUGUUGUGCAUUUUCCGGGCUGUAUGGCCAUGUUCCAGAAGCAUUCUCUCCUGACAUUUUGCCCACAUCUAUGGCAGGCAUCCUCAGAGGUUGUGAGGCAACCUCUGAGGAUGCCUGCCAUAGAUGUGGAUGAAACGUUAGGAGAGAGUGCUUCUGGAACAUGGCCAUAAAGCCCGGAAAAUGCACAACAACCCAGUGAUUCCGGACAUGAAAACCUUUGACAACAAAUUAUGUCAUUGUCCCUACUAAUCAAAAGGUCACCCUCUUUCUAGCACUGAGGUCCCUGAGUCUCCUGGAACAGUGGAGGGCAGCAGGAUACUGGAGAAAUUUAGGAGAGAACCCUUGUAAAACUCUAACUGAUUUUCUGUAAUUGUGAUUGUAUAGCCUGCCAUAAGAGUGUGUGGCUGUCCUUUAUGUGUUGUUUUGGGAUGAUCGUUCCCCUCCUUCUCACUGUAGACACCAAGCACCUCACAGCAGCAUGCCAGCUCUGAGCACCACAACUCUCCUGAGUCACGAAAAUCCAGUGUGACUCUGAGUUCCAUCAGCAGUGACCUUGGUUGGAAGAGAGCAACCUUUCCUUUGAAGUGAAUGCAAAUGGCUUCAUUGGUGGAAGGCUGCAUGCAACUGCCUCAUCAUUGGUGGUCACCAUAGUGAGGGCUGUAACCCUAGCCAUAGACACAACUCCGUCUCUCCAGAGUGUUGCUCUUCCUUCCUAUGUGCAGAGAUGCAUGAAGCCUCUGACACAGAGGGGAGGGGAAACUUGGAGUUGGUCCAUGAAUGCUAACAAAAGGGUUUGUGUUUGACAGUUUCAGAUGCUAUAGCAACAUGGCUGUGGAUAAAGAGUGUUUGCUGUCCCAUCCUGCAACUCUCCGGGCCUCCAAUAUACAAGUGUGGGCAGAGAGGAGGGGUAGAUUAAUGUCCAUGGCUAAUAAGGCUGGCAAAGGGGGAGGGAGGGAUUUCAGCCCCCCUCCCUAGACUCUCAGAAAUCUCACAAGUUUGCAUCUCUCCAUCUUGUUUGGAAUAUUCAGCAAACAUUCAGAGUUUGGCACUUGUCAUCCAAAGAUUUUUCAGGAGGGAAUAGAGCAGGAACAACGUUUUGACAACAUUUACAGUCUGGAGAGUUUGAGAAGAUUCCAUGACAAAUUCUGACUGCAGGAUAUCUCAGUUUUGUUAACUGCGGUAUGCUUAUAAAAUUAAUCAGACUUCUGAAUGCUCUCAUAUAUUUUUAGUGUGACAUCCUAAAGUGUAGUCUAACUGCUAUCAGGAACCGUUGCCACCAAAGAGAAAGGCAGUUAUACAGCACUGAAAUGCUGUUCAACUGAAAUGGCCUAGCAUGCUGAAAUAAUGAUAGUUUUAUUUCUUACCCACCUCUCCUCAAGGCUAGAGGUUCAUUAAAGCAUAGCUAAAACACAUUAUCAUCAUAAACAUUAUAUAAAAUAAACAUAUUAAAAUGUAUUUUUCCAAAUACAAAUAUCUAAAUACACAGAACAAAGAUUAAAAUGUUGAAGUGACCCUGUAGUUUGAAUGGCUGAUGUACUCCUGGGAAUUGUUUUUCAAUUGUUCUUAGAGGUGUCAUGCAAAAGUGUAAUUGCACUAAUGCAUCAUAAGGGGAAAGAAAAAAAUGAAGAAGAAAGGAGUUGAAAAGAAAGGGAUUUUUUGUUCUGAUCUUUCUUGGAAUUUCAAAGAAAGAACUCUACUCAAGGUUAGGAUUGUUUACCUACAAAUCCUGAUUUAGAUCCACCCUUGAUUCAUAAUAAUCCAUUUGAAUAAAAAGCAUUUAGGGAAAGAUAAAUGUUGGACAGUUGGUAAUUGAGCUGUUAAGAAUCUUAUUGUCCUAUAGCUCUUUUCCUCCAUUGCUUUUGUUUUGUUUAUUAAUCUGAAAAAGGAUACUGUUUCUCUUUGGCCAGAUGGUUAGACCAUCUCAAGAUUGUUCCUCAGAACUAUUAUCAUUUUAAACUAAAUAAAUUGACCCAUAUAAAAGUAUUUAGACUGUAAGCUACACAGUUUUUAAAAAUCCAAAAAAGAAACCUUUAUGUUUUCUUUUCAAAAUUCUUCUACCACUAGAAAAUUAACCAAUGUAAACUAAGCUUUCUGAAACAGAGCAACUGACAAAUCAAAGCAUUUGUCCAUCUAGUUUCUAAUAGCCAGUUCACUACUUACUUAGGCAAUCCCUCGUUGUCUGAGUAUUAUUGUCUUCCAGGUACGUGUCCUGGCAGUGGAUGCAUACGUGGCUGUGGAGCCCUAUUCUUGACCUGCAUAUUCUUCAACAGUGAAGGCAUCGGUUUCCAGGUGGAAGGUGAUCCCGAUCAGGGUUAGCUUGAUGCACCUUUCUCUUGGCACAUUUCUCCCUUUCGCCCUCCAUUCGUGCCUCUUCAAAUUCCACAGCACUACUGAUCACAGCUGAACUCCCUCUAGAGUGUUCAAGGGCCAGGGUUUCCCAGUUCUCGGUGUCUAUACCACAGUUUUUAAGGUUAGCUUUAAGCCCAUCUUUAAAUCUCAUUUUCUGUCCACCAACAUCCCAUUUUCCAUUCCUGAAAUGUCUAGUUUCUAAUAGCCAGUUCACCACACAGUAAUACUCUUACAUAUCAUAUAAGCUGAUGAUCCCAAUUGCAAGUCCUGUCAUCUCCACAUGAUGUUAAUAAAAGGAUCCUGAAUGAAAUAUGAAAAGCUCUUGCCAGUCAAUGUAGACAGUCAGUACAAGAAAGGGUCGAUUUACAUUGCCCGCAUCUGCAACAUUUCAAAUUUACUGUUGGGUUAUCUAAGCAAUCAUGCAUGCAUUUUCAAUGUGGGAUGGUUUAUGUAGUUAGAUAUGUUUGUUGCUUAGUAACCUGAGCCAAGCUGCAUUCCAGAGUUGAAGCCACCAUUUAGGGGUUUUUGCAUAUGAAAUGGGAAAUGGGAGUAUCCUUUCUGGGGACACACAGGAAGUGAUGUACAGAUGCCUCUUCCUGUCUCUUCCCUCUUCGCUCCUGCCAUACCAUGCCAUGCUGAUGUUCCUGUUUGUUAAGAGCUAUGUAGUAUCCUGAACUGUUUUUUCUUUUGGAACUAAGAUGUUUUUGCCUGUAUGACCAUCAUCAUACAAGAUUGUGAGUAAACAUAUUUUUGCUAUUUUAUUUUGAUGUCUCUGAUGUUUAUUUUAUGCACAUGACUUUUUAAAGGGAAAGGGAGGCUGGAUAUUUUGUCUUGUUUAUUUUCUUUUUACCUCUGCUCACAUAAACCCCUAGUCUUCUGCGUUUUUACUGCUCUGCACCAAUAUUUAACCAUAUUGGUAUCAUAAUCUUAACAGGUUAUGAAUAUAUAUUUCUAUUAUUUACAAUGUGUUUCCAGAAAUAAACCAGCAAAGUCUCCCUCAAAACACAUAGUUUUCCAAUUGUUCCAAUGCUGUUAAGUGAAGUGGGAGAUAAGAGAGUGUGAGGCAACCUGGAGUUUUGGCAGAAGAAACAAUGACGGGGCUGAUUUCUUUUUUCUAUGUAAGUUAGGGGAGCAGGAGAGAGAGAGAGCAACUGCAGUAUUGGCAUUGCCAGAAGAAAGGGAUUUCCUUUCUUGCUUAGAAGGAGAUGUGCAAGAGGAAGGAAGAAGCUGGAAUCUUGGAGUUUUGGUGUGCUGAGGUGGAGGUAAUGGGCGGGGAGGGGGGGUGGGAAUGGUGAUAGUCAUGCAGUCAGAAAACUAGCCCUGCUAAGCAUACUGAUUAAAAAAGACAAAGAACCUUGUAGCCCAGUAAAAUUACACUUCUUACCAUUUGCCUUCUGUCUAUGUGUGCUUCUCUGAAAAGGUACUGGCAUCUAAGGACAAGCCAACUCACUCCAGCCAAGCUCCCUUUGGAGUUAGCAGCUGCUUCCAUUUCUGACCUCUCAAUAGAGCAUUCACAAGUCUUUCAAGCCUGGAAAAUAUGAGUGCUUAUUGUUUUUGCUCUAAAACCAGUGAUGUGUUAACAAAAUUGCUAAAUUUUGAUGCAUCUACACUGUUGCAUUAAUGCAUUUUAAUUGUCAUAGCUCAAUGCUCAGGUAUUAUGGGACUUAUAGUUUAGUAUGACUCCAGCACCCUUUGGUAGAGAAGGCUAAAGACGUAUUGUAAAAUUAGUUUCCAUCAUUCCAUAGCAUUGAACCAUUGCAACAAAAGUGGUGUCAAACUGCAUUAAUUCUACAGUGUAUGUAGAAUAAUAGAAUCAUAGAGUUGGAAGAGACUACAUGGGCCAUCUAGUUCAACCCCCUGCCAUGCAGAACAAACACAAUCAAAGACCCCCCACAGAUGGCCAUCCAGUCUCUGUUUAAAAGCCUCCAAGGAAGGAACUUCCACCCAAGGAAGGAGUGUAGAUGCACUCCUAAAACUCUCUUUUUACAGAGAAACCAAAAGACACAAGAUCAAACUAGAUAUUACAUCUCUUUGCAAUGGCCAUCUCCGAAAUUCUGAAAGGUUUCUGUUUGUCAUUUUGUUUUUUUAUUGGUCACUAGAACAGAAAUGUAAGCUUUGCAAAUUUGAUUACUGAGACACAUAUCACAAAGAAAAUCCUUUUGGGGAGGAGCAGACUAAUCUCAGAGAAUAUGCAUCAUUCUUAAUGAAGUUAGCCACAAUUCAACAUCCCUUGAGAGUAGCAUAAAUAUCCACCUGUGUAGUACUCCACCAGUACCACACCAUCCACAUACAGGAGAGCAAUAUCAUACAGCACACGUGAACAAACAGGUGUCACUGUGACAUUCGAGAGCUAAAUGCACAAUGUACAACUGCAGGGUGCAAUGCAUAAUUGUAAUGUGUAAGGUUGCAGUGGAUGCACAUUCACCUCUGUUGCUGUCAGAUGAAUAUUUCUGUUGUUCUCCGACAAAUAAUUCACCCUGCAUGUGUAUGCAACUAUAGGAAUGUCAACAGCUUUUAUUCUCCAGGUCCUCAAAUUGGCAUGCUUUGAAUAGAACAGAAUCCAUGCAACAGUCAAAACACACAAGGCUAUGUGAUUAUCUCAGCACAUGCCAUUUCAGGACAUGGGAGAGUGGUUACUGGUUACUCUUGGAAAGAAGCAUCAUUACGUCUUAAAUCUGAUUGUCUCCAAAAUAUGAAUUAGCUUAGAGAUGAUGCUAAGUUCAUCUUAUGGAAAAACAAUUUUGAUUUGAUACAUAACUACAACUGAGGUUCUGCUUAAUUAAAGAAGCUAAAAUCUCUGUAGGCCUGUGCCAGAAAUAAGCUUGCUCUCUCUGUUCUGUGUGGCUCAAGGGUGUGCAUUUGCUUUUCCUGUUUGAAAAAAAGAAACAGUGUGCCUUCAUCAGUGCCAUCUACCGGCUACAGACUAGAACAGCUGGUGGGAAUACAUGACCUCAAAAAACCUCCCCUUGUUAUUAUACAACUACUCCAAUAUCAUCACAGAGAUAUUAGCAAAGGAAACCUCGCCCUACUUAACAGAGAAUUACCAUACACUGAACUCAAAAAGACCCACCGUAAUGCUCUUGCUGAAAUACUAUGUAAGCAGAACAACAAAGCCCUGGGUUAAAAUUAUGUUAUCUCCCAAAGCAUAAUCCAGCACGCUUAUUCUUCAGUGCAACUGAGAGUGGACCAGAUUUACAAUUUCAUCAGUGUUCAAGCAUUACAAUCAUCAUGAGAUUUUCCUCCUCUUUCCAGUCUUUGAAAUGUUACAGGAAUACGAACUUCUCAUUUAAGAUUUGGCUAAUGUUCCCACCAUUUCUGGGGUGGUAUAAAGUAGUUUAUAGUUCAUGCCUGGCCAUGUUUACUUGCAAACUAUUGAUAAGAUCAGCAUGGCUUACUCCCAGUUAGGGGAGUAAAACCCAUCGUUAAUUUCAUGGUAUACUGCCAUGGCACUUACUUUACUAUCUAAUUACUGUAACUGUGCAAUGUGGAUAUCAGCCAUGACUCCAUAUAAUUGUCCAUCUUGAUUAACUUCUUCUAACCUCCUGCUCUGUUACCUUUAAGCCCAUCCUUUCAUCUGCAUGUCCACAGGCCAAUGAAACGCCAUGUAACCACAAAAAAAUGCUCUUGAAUCUGUCCCAAAUGAUGCAUUUUGUUAUUCCCUGUCUCAACACAAAAACAAAACUCUGGCCAUUAUCAUUGCUGUCAGGAGCUAGAGAUGUUUAACUAUAUUGUGUUGUCGAAGGCUUUCAUGGCCUGAAUCACUGUGUUACUGUGUGUUUUCCAGGCUGUAUGGCCAUGUUCCAGAAGCAUUCUCUCCUGAUGUCAGGAGAGAAUGCUUCUGGAACAUGGCCAUACAGCCUGGAAAACUCAAAGCAACCCAUUAAACUGUAUUUCCAGCCAUUUAGUGGGAAAGCUCUGGCAGCGUAUGAUAUAAAAUAAAACAAAUGUAAGGCUGAAGUGUUGACCUGUCUUGAGUGUAGCAUCACAUUGCAAGCAUACUGUAGCAACAUAGCCAUUCCCACAUUCUUGAGCACUUCCUGUGUUCUUGGCAUGCGCCACAGUGAAUAUAAGAAGUGGGAUAAAUUGGCUGCCUAGCUACCUCGAAUAUGUACCUUUCACCAGGGCCAAAUCAUCACUGAAGGCACAUAGUCUUCAUGGAUCUUCUCCACUGUCGCCAUCUGCAUUGAGGACGGGGGAAAGUGAAUGAUGGGGAUGAGCCAGUGUUGGAUGAAAUCUUAGGCGUGGAUAAACUGCAGCUGCUGGGUGUUUUAAUAUUUAUUUGUAGAAUGUUCUAGAAUGCCCUGCCCAACAGCUGCAGUUUAGACAUGCCUGAGAUUUCAUCCUACAUUGACCAACCCCAUCGGCAUUUAGGAUAGCUGCUUCAUGUGAACCUAAUGAGAGUAAAUCAUCUUCAUUUCUUCCACCAUUUCAAAAUUGUGCCACAGAAAUACACCCCUCAGCAUUUAGCACACAUGCAUUUUUUUAAAAAAAGUUCAUUUUCCAGACCAGUGGAUUUUAAAAUAGCUUUUAUUAUUAGCACCACUUUCCAGGCACAUUUAAAACAUGCCUCACAAUGCUAACUCAUUGUACAUUAAAAUGCAACCCCUUAUCAACAACAUUAAAAAACACCACAUUUGUGGAUACAAGAUUCAAUUGGCACCUUCAAAUGGAUCUUAGCUGGACCAACUGAGGUUUGUCAUUAGAGUAACACACCAUGCCUGGAACAGAACAACGCACAAAUCCAUCAGCAAUAUGGUGAGAAAAAAAGUCUUGGUUGUGAUGUACAAUUGACCAAAUUGCCCAGCAAUUUGGCCAUUAUUCUUCAUAGAGUAAAACCCAGUUCUGUUUGGUCUGACCUUUUGAAGAACUUUCCACACGUUUUCAUGUCCAAGAUGCAUUCUGUGUAAUUGUUGACUUAUUUUAAGUAGCUCCAAAAUGAGAGAGGUUAUAUAAAAACACUACAAAUCACACCACAAAUUGUUCUCUCUGUGUGUAUCUGCUUUCAGGUCAUCUAUCAACAUAUGUAGACCCCAUGAGUUUCAUAAGGUUUUCUUAGAGAAUAUUCAGAUGUGGUUUUGGCAGUUUUAUAGACCAACAAUAUCCUUUUUUUCUAAAUGGAAACAGGAUGGAAAGGCUAUACAGUAUGUAACAGGCAAUGCAAAGCUGAAAAUAACUCCUAGACUUGACAUUUUUCUGAUAUGGAAUAGAAUUGUUACUGCAUGAAAGAAUUUUCACUGAGUCAUGAAGAAGUCUCCUUAAGAUUCAAGGAAAGGAUACAUAGACACUGACCAUACAAGGAAAGAACAGCCAUACAAAAACUUGGAACCAUUAUUUGUCUGAACUACAUCUCCCAGAAUCCCUUAACAAGAAUGGUCACCAAUCAAGCUGUCUGGGGGUUUCUGGGUAGUGUAGUCCUAUAAUCUUUCCAAGCAGCACCAACAACUGAAUCAUAGGAAGUUGGUCUGACGAGCCAUUGCUCUGACAAACAUGGGCCUCAGACAGUUAUAGUGUUAUUAUUCUACUUUAAUUACCAGAGUUCCAUUCUAUGGAAUCCUGGGGUUUGAAAUUUGGUGAGAUAUUGGAGCUCUCUGGUUGAGACUUCAAAAUGCCCUCCCUAAGUUUCAAGUCCCAGGAGUCCAUAUGAUAGAACCAUGAUAGUAAAAAUGGAAUUGUGGUGCUUUGAUUAUGUAAUGUAAGUGGGCCCCUGGUGUAUAGGAUGGGAUAGAAUCACUUCUACAUCGCUAUUUCAGGCAACCGAAGCAGCAACACAAGCUGGUUCUGAAUUACCAGCAGCAAGAGGGAAGACCAGCAUGCCAUAGUGCAGUGGUUCUCAACCUGUGAGUCCCCACAUAUUUUGGCCUUCAACUCCCAGAAAUCCUAACAAUUGGUAAACUGGGUGGGAUUUCUGGGAGUUGUAGACCAAAACACCUGGGGACCCACAGGUUGAGAUCCACUGCUAUAGCAAGUCCAAUUUCGGAAUACAAGUGAGAGCAACUAUAUUAUUUUAGCACCUACAAUUUUGUCAGCACAACUGAAUCUAAUUAAUAUUUCCUAGCAAUCUCUCUCGAAUUAACCUUCCAUGAGUGGUCCAUCAAGAACUGCUAUUGCUGCUAUCACAAUAUAUCGAUACCUGCAGUUGUACUGAAGGACACAAGGCCAAAAUAUGUACUCCAAAGAGCGGAAUAAUAAAGAAGCCUCUGGUAUCUCAGAAGAAAGAAACAUUAGGACAAAUUAUGUAGGAGUCUCAGGAGAGGAUGUUAUGUAGAAUGGGAGUGAAUAAUAAAGAAAGAGGGGUGAACAACAAGCAAGAAUGGCUGUUUGAACAGAUGGGCUUCUGUGAAUCUUUCCUGGGUGGAUCCAUCAGUAGAUCUUCAGUAACACUGCCACGUGCUGUGAUUUUUAAAAUAAAAAAAAAAGAAGAAGAGGAGGAGGAAAAAUCAGCUGAGGAGAAAUGGACUUGCUUUGGUUCCAUGCAGGCUCAGUGCAAUGGAAAGAAAGAGUGUGUGUCAUGCAAGACACCUGCGCACAACUAAAGAGAGAUCAAGUCUAAUCCAUUUCCCAAUUAUGAAUGCAAGACAAUGCAGAUCUGAAGAUCAAGAGGUAAGAUUAUACCAAGAAAGAAAUGCAGCAAGCAGGUCAGCUCUUCAAAUAGAGAUUUGGAAAAUGGCCAGUUAUUUGGUCUAAAUCAGUGGUUCUCAACCUGUGGGUCCCCAGGUGUUUUGGCCUACAACUCCCAGAAAUCCCAGCCAGUUUACCAACUGUUAGGGUUUCUGGGAGUUGAAGGCUAAAACAUCUGGGGACCCACAGGUUGAGAACCACCGGUCUAAAUAAUUGUAACAUUGGAGACAUUUGAUAAGGGGAGAAACCUGGAACAACUCAUUCCACACACACAAUUAAUCUUGCUCACAAAUAUCUGAGGCUUGUACACUACAUCAUUUAUUUAUUGACAGAUGCAGCUCAUACACAGUGUGUUUUUACACAGACUCACAUCAGUCUCCCCAAAUCAGUCAUUCAUUUUCUCUGGAUGGGCAGGUUACCUCUGCCUGCAGGACAUUCACACUGGGCAUGAACAAUUAUCUUAUAAACCUACAACUUUGGUUUUUAGGCCAAAAGGAUGUUACCAAGGAAAAUAAAAGAACCAAAUUCACCAUUUGGAACAAAUUAAAGAUAGUAACAUAGCCUAUAUAACUUGUUCUGCUUAUAAGAUCUGUUCUGUUCACAUGAUCUAUGGCAGUGGUUCUCAACCUGUGGGUCCCCAGGUGUUUUGGUCUACAACUCACAGAAAUCCCACCCAGUUUACCAGUUGUUAUGAUUUCUGGGAGUUAAAGGCCAAAACAUCUGGGGACCCACAGGUUGAGAACCACUGAUCUAUGGCACUUCAGAUGAGGAAUGGAUUGACAAGCAGAGGCUGCAGCAUAGGGAUGGACAUCCCUGUCCCAAACCACAGCCAAGAUCAAAGAAUAGAGGAGUGUGAUAUAUAAACACAAUCCUACAAACAACUAUGCAUCUGGAAUAUUAUGGAUAAUUGUGAAACUUUCUACUUAUCACAGGUGAGUCUCUUGGUAGUGUGAGGCUCCAUGACACUGCUAUAGACCUGGACUCUGACCCUGGAAAGCUCAUAUGAAAAGAAAAUAGGAAAGAGUUCAGGCAUGCACCACAUUCCUGGUUAUGGAAAAACACUGGGGUCUUUAAAAAGAAACCACAUCUCUUAACACAUAACAUCUUUGAACAUCGUUGGAAGCUCCAUUGUUUCGGUGAGCCACAGUCUGCGAAAUGUUCAAAGCCUUAGGCAUGCUACAAUGCUAUUCCCAGCAGACUGGAACCCCCCACAAAAGUGCAGAAAAGAGAACAUGCAUGCCUGCACAUGGGCACACAUGCACAUACAUGCGCCAAAGUUGAAGAACUUUCCUUAUAAAUACUUCUAAUUACAUACACUGCUAUAAAGUGUUGAGCCAGUAAGGCCUAGCUUUCCUAAGUGCAUUCCCCCAAGUGUGCCCACACCAGCUGCACUUGCUAUGUCUCUGCCACCGGGGAAGGGAGGAAAAACAAGGCGCGUAGGGGUAUCGGAAAGUCAGCUCUUUCAGGGCAACCUUUAUUUCUUCAGGAUGGGCAAUUUGUUUACAUCCAAGACAGGGCAGACAGACAGAGACUGAAUCUGCCUUACCUGCAGAGGACUGAAUGGCAUUGCUUUGUCUUUUUAUAGCUUUGGCAUAGGCUGACAAACGAUGGCUUGCAGGUUUUUUAGAGAUGGGGGGAGGCUUAGGGUCAGAGGGAGGCUUAGGGAAGGGUAGAGGCUUGGGAUAGGAGGGAGGUUUAGCAACAGAAGGUGGCUUGGGAAUGGAUGGUGGUUUGGGAACGGAUGGCGGUUUGGAUGGUGGUUUAGGAGUGGAGGGCAAUUUGGGGGUAGAAUGUUCUGGCUUAUCCGUAGUAGGUUUGGGUAUGGCUGAGCCAUCAGGUGAAGGAAUAUCUGUAUGGGUGACUUGCUGAGUUUGUAGGGAGGUAGGCCUAAGAGUUAAGUCCUCUAGGGCUCCUGUAGUCACCAAAGAGGGAACGGUCCCAUCUGAGUUUGUCUGAAGUUCUGGAGAUGAUUUAAGGUCCACAUUUAAAGCUGACUCUGGGGAAGCGGUUGGCCCUCCUGCCGCUGGUGUGUCAGAUCCUGUUUCUAUGCCAGUUUGCGUACUUUCUGGUGUUUCUGGUGAUGGGCCUUUUGUGGUGUCUUCAGUAGCUAGGAUUUCACUCAAGAUGGCAGUAGGUUCCAGAUCUGUGGGUCCAGGAGAUGCAGUGGUUUCCUCCUCAUCAGCACUGGAUUCUGGUAACAAAGAAGUUAGCAGCAAAAUCAGCUCUCACACACCCAUACAGCCAUAACCUAUUUCCAGAAGGUCAUACAGAAGAACAAGCUGAUAUUUUACUUUCAUGAGCCACAUUUUUGUGUUAAUCAGAGGGUUGGCCCUAUUGUGAGACAGAGUGAGCUCAUUGUCUCACAGGCCGCAGGUUUUGGAUUCUUUUAAAGGGCACCAAGUUCUCAGCCACCUUAUUUAUUUACAACUUAGGCUUGGUGACUACUUGAAUGUUCUACCACAGGUUCAAAAGUGUCUAUGGCUCAGCUUUAGUAAGUGACAUCGCAGCCAAAGUAUGAGGAAGAGACAGUUGAGAGGGCCUGUCUCAGAUAAAGAACCAGCAAUAGCCAGCUAAUGGCAAAUUAUUGUUGUUAAUUUAUUUUAACCAUAAACGAUAUGCCAUUUGAUUUGUCUGCCAAAACAAAAGAGACCAGAUCAAGUGUAGCUUAAACUUUAGAGUAUAAUUUUAUUAUUAUUUCAAACAAUUUCACACUUUAAAAAAUGAAAUGACAUUUUAAGAGGAUCGCUGUGUUUUAACUUUUUAUUAUCCCUUUUUUAGCGUUUUCUUGUUUGAGUACUUGUGUAAGCUACCUUGCAACCCCAGCCAAAAGGAAGGUGGGAUAGAAAUAAAAUAAAUAAGUAAUAUGUCUAUAAAUACAAGGCUCUUCCUGUCAUACCAGUAUGUAUUCACACCUUUAUUUGUUUGGGUCAUUCCUGGAGUCACUCAAAGUUGGAAGUUUGCUAUAUCUUGCACAUCAUAUAUUUAGUCCAUGGGAAUAGGAUGCAGAUAAGGAUCUUGCUGCCUCAGCUGCUUUUACACGAGAAUAACUAAUGUCUAUAGUUCCAGUCACUUACCGCAAAGAGCAUCCUUACAUGAGUAACCUUCUGGACACAUGGAACAUGGCUCGCCUUCCUUGUAUGGUUUAUGUCCUUUUACAUUCCCCCUAGAAAUUAAAAUGACUCAAAUUGACUGAAACAAGAAAGCCUUUUUGUUGAGUAAAACCCUUCCAGAAAGUAACACUCUUACAGAUGUAACUGAAUAUAGCCAGGCAGCUGUAUUAGUACAUGACUAAAAAAGCUAGUAGGCUUUCAAAGAAUACUAGUUACUUAUGGCCAUUAUGAACUGAGAUUCUAGAGUGGAGAGACAUGAAGGAGAUGGGAUGCUUUUGCCUCUUACACUUGAAUCAGCAGCAUUACUGAGCUAAACAAACAUUUUAGUUUGACCUGAUUGAAAAUCAAUGCAAUUUGGACAUGAAUGGGUCUUUCAUGUUUAGGAAAGGAAAGGAACUUACGGGGGUUCAUAGUUGCAGACUACUAAAUGCAUAUCAGUGUCAUUGAGAACUGUCAGGGUCUCACAAAAGACUGUUUCGCAGCCAACACGCUCAGUGUUUGCCCAAACCACCUAAAGCAGUAGGGAAAAAAAGAGAAGAAAAAGCUUGCUGAAGAUGACUCUGCAUUUAUAUGGACACCACGCAUCCUCUCGUUUAUUCCUGAGGAUCCAGUCAUUUCUCUCAGAAGAUGGUGUUUCUUUAGCUUUUUCUUGCUGUCUCUAUUUUUUUAGAUAAUUUAUAGAUGGCAUUUUUAUUUAGCUUUAUUUAACAGUGCUGCCCCAACCAUUAGGCAGAGCGAGGUAGCUACCUCAGGGAAAGAUUUGGGGAUUUAUUGAUAAAUAGCAAAUUGUUCAUCAUUAAUUUUUUAUUUUACACCAACAUUACUAUUUAUUUUCACUGUCAGAGAUGGAGAGAGGUUCUUUUGUGCAUUAAAUUACUAUUUGUUAGAAAGUGUGCAAUGGUGAGAGAUAUUGAUCUAAGGAGCAAACAAACCAAUGGCUUAGAGAAAGAAACUAAGCUUUAUUCUAGGAACUCCAUUCUAAGAUAGGAUAGUAACUCAGGGUGCUGAUCUAACUAUAUCUUGGAGGAUUCACGGGAAUAAGAAGAGAUGAAGGAAACAUCCCUAAGAUGUUAAAGAAGCUAUACAAAGAGGGAUCAGGAUAGGUAGAUACAGAGGAAGAGCACUUCAUGUCACUCAAACUAUCUAACUCUAUUACUACUGCCCAUUGUGGGGCAUUCUUUGCUCUUCAGUGCUAAGUGUUGUUGCAUUUCCAACAAGUCAACAUGGACAAGGUAUAGUCAAACACUAGAACCACUGUGGUGAAAUGGUUUAAGUGUUGGACUCCCCACUCAGCCAUGGAAACUCACUCAUUCAGCCUCAGAGGGAGGCAAAGACAAAACCCUAUUGAACAAAUCUUGCCAUGACAGGUUUGCCUUAGGGUCGCUAUAUGUUGGAAAUGAAUUGAAAGAACAUAAUGGCAAAUAGUCAAACACAUUUGGAGGGCAACGAAAGGGGAAAGAUUGUCUUCUGUGAUUUAGGUAAGUAAACUUUUUAUUGGAAGUUAACAUGUAUACUAAUCAUAUGUACACACACACUUUCUUUUUGAAAGAAAAAUCCCCACUGCCAGGAGGAGUAACAGUGGCAUCAGGAGGUCUUUAUGAGGAAAGUAACAGUGUGCAUUAAAAUUACAUAUUGCACAACUACAAGCCGAAUAUCAUUACCUCCCCCGACAUAGCCUGGAAAUCAGUGGUAGCAAAUGAUUCCCAUGUCAGCAGGAUGGUAAAUCCACCCCAGGUUUUAGAGUAAACUUUAAAAUAGCUAUCCACAGUGCUGAACCCAACAUAGUGAAUUGGGUUUGGCACUUUGUAUAACUUCUUUAAAAUUCGAAUCAGAACCUAGAGUGGAUUCACCCCCUACUGACAUAGUGCCACUUCUAGAAUUGUGCAGAUGUUCUCCCUAUGAAACUAUAAGACUAAAAUCUCUAUUGAACCUAUGGAGAUCAAACCAAAACAUUGUACAAUUCUAAGCAUAGAAUCUGCUGUAUAAUUUGUACUGUCAACCAUCAAUGAAGUCUGCACACACAGCAGUACACAUCAUUUCCUAGGCUUUGCUUGAGGUUUUUGAGAGCUGCCUUGGGAGAAAGAAGACCUAUAAACCAAACAAAUAAAUAAAUAAAUAUUUGGAUACCUGUGUAUAAUGACCACACAUCUGUCCCUCUUCACAUGUUAAUGUAGUCAUGUUAUAAUACUGGUAUUCAUCAUACCAACUUUCCACAAUUGUCUUCACAUCUAGGUCUCCAGACAUGGCAAAGAGAUUCUCGCCACGCCGGCCCCUGUCCGGGUUGUGUUCCCAAAUGCAUUUUGUUGCAUAGUCUUUGGCAAUGGCUUCCAACUCUGGAUCCCAGCUCUGAAAUCACAAACAGAAUGUCAUCAGCACACAGAAAGGUUUCCGCAUAAGCCAACGAGGGAAGUGAAUACUCAGCAUUUGAAAAUAUGUCCAAUUCCCUGGCCUGCAUAGCAACUGGCAAGUCUGGUGUUUUGUCCAGGACAAGCAAGUGGUUGCCAUCACAAUGAAAAAUGUAGCUCAAGAUUUGAAAUAGUUUUUCCAGCUUCAUCUGUAAAUCAUUUGCACUUUGGAAGUAGAAUACUACCAAUCCCAGUCAUCUAUUAGCUAUUUUUGAAUGUCAUCAGUGGAGCAGCAAACUUUGUCCAUUUUUCUGAACUUCUUCCAGAUUCAUCUGUAAAUCAUUUGCACUAUGGAAGUAAAAUAUUACCCAUCCCAGCCAACUAUUAGCUAGCUUUGUAUCCCUUCAGUGAAGCAGAAAACGUGGUCUAUUUAGUCUGAACUUUAAAGGAGUUAGCCAAAGUUCUGAAUGCAUUUGAAGGAUAGAAUUCAUUAUUCUAGAUAACCCCUUUUACAGUUCAGACUACGACCUUGCCCUUGUCCUGGGCAAGGACAUGGAAAUCACCAGUUCCCACUAGGUCUAGGAAAGAUUAUCCCCGCAUUAAAGAACACGUUAUUGUAGAAGAAGGCUUCAUGUUCCUUGCUAGAAUGGGGUCUCUGGAGUAGCAGAACUUGGUAUCCCCCCAUUCCAGUUUAUACUCAGUGACCUCUGAAAGAGGUAAGUGCUUCUGGGCCUCAACCUUUUUUUCUGCAAAAAAAAAUGGAUGUUGAGUACUAAACCCUCAUGGGUGCCUUUGCAAAUUCCAACCAAAGGAAACAUCUGUCUGCAAACUAAUAUACAAUGUCAAUGCAUAUAUUGCAGCCUGAAAGUGCAGGGAUUAUAUGCUGGAUUAUACAUGCAUGUAUAGUCAGCCUUCACUUCUGUGGGUUUGACUUUUACAGAUUUGAUUAUAUACUGACUUGAUUAAAAUGUUUUCUCUGGGAA